UUNGAAGGGGGCAGGGCGCUGGGACGG
rnacentral:piRNA from 1 species